rnacentral:rRNA from 1 species
ACGGAGGGUGCAAGCGUUAUCCGGAUUCACUGGGUUUAAAGGGUGCGUAGGUUGACCGGGAAGUCAGUGGUGAAAUACUCUCGCUUAACGAGAGAACUGCCGUUGAUACUAUCGGUCUUGAAUACGGUGGAGGCGGGCGGAAUGUGUCAUGUAGUAGUGAAAUACUUAGAUAUGACACAGAACACCUAUUGCGAAGGCAGCUCGCUACGCCGUCAUUGACACUGAGGCACGAAAGCGUGGGGAUCAAACAGGA